CACUACAGCCAUGCUACCCUGAACGUGCCUGAUCUCGGAAGCUAAGCAUGGUCGAGCCUGGUUAGUACUUGGAUGGGAGACCACCUAGGAAUACCAGGAGCUGUAGGCA
rnacentral:rRNA from 1 species